UACAGAGGUCCCAAGCGUUGUUCGGAUUUACUGGGCGUAAAGGGUGCGUAGGUGGUCGGGUAAGUCUCAUGUGAAAUCUCCAAGCUUAACUUGGAAAUGGCAUGGGAUACUAUUCGGCUAGAGGAUUGGAGGGGGACUGGAAUUCCCGGUGUAGCAGUGAAAUGCGUAGAUAUCGGGAGGAACACCAGUGGCGAAGGCGAGUCCCUGGACAAUUCCUGACGCUGAGGCGCGAAAGCUAGGGGAGCGAACGAGGA
rnacentral:rRNA from 1 species